GACGAACGCUGGCGGCGUGCUUAACACAUGCAAGUCGAGCGGAAAGGCUCCUUCGGGGGUACUCGAGCGGCGAACGGGUGAGUAACACGUGAGUAAUCUGCCCUCCACUCUGGGAUAACGUUCAGAAAUGGGUGCUAAUACCGGAUGUACACACGCUGACGCAUGUUGGUGUGUGGAAAGGUUCUUCUGGUGGGGGAUGUGCUCGCGGCCUAUCAGCUUGUUGGUGGGGUAAUGGCCUACCAAGGCUUUGACGGGUAGCCGGCCUGAGAGGGUGACCGGCCACACUGGGACUGAGACACGGCCCAGACUCCUACGGGAGGCAGCAGUGGGGAAUAUUGGACAAUGGGCGGAAGCCUGAUCCAGCAACGCCGCGUGAGGGAUGACGGCCUUCGGGUUGUAAACCUCUUUCACCAUUGACGAAGCUGCAUCUUUUUGGGUGUGGUGACGGUAGGUGGGGAAGAAGCCUCGGCUAACUACGUGCCAGCAGCCGCGGUAAUACGUAGGAGGCAAGCGUUGUCCGGAAUUACUGGGCGUAAAGCGCGUGUAGGUGGUGGGACAAGUCUGCUGUGAAAGCGCCUGGCUUAACCGGGCGAGGUCGGCGGAAACUGUUCGACUCGAGGACGGUAGAGGGGGGUGGAAUUCCCGGUGUAGUGGUGAAAUGCGUAGAGAUCGGGAGGAACACCUGUGGCGAAGGCGGCCCCCUGGGCCGGCCCUGACACUGAGACGCGAAGGCGUGGGGGGCGAACGGGAUUAGAUACCCCGGUAGUCCACGCAGUAAACGAUGCAUACUAGUGUGGGGGGUAUCGAGCCCCUCCGUGCCGCAGCUAACGCAAUAAGUAUGCCGCCUGGGGAGUACGGCCGCAAGGUUAAA
rnacentral:rRNA from 1 species